UAUCACCCUGAAUGCGCCCGAUCUUGUCUGAUCUUGGAAGCUAAGCAGGGUCGGCCUGGUUAGUACUUGGAUAGGAGAAAUUCCUGUU
rnacentral:rRNA from 1 species